ACCUCAUAGAAGAAGAAUCAAACGAUUUUUCUUUCCAAGUUCGCAGUAAUCUUGAAAGCUCGGGAAGUUCCCAGAUCCUUGAUGAUUUGAAACCAGCAUUAUUAGGGACGUUGUCACAUAUUCAUUAUUGAUCUCUUCACAGGUGGUGAGGAUUCUAUACCACCUACGAAAUGAGUAUCUUCAGGAUUAGAAAAUGCCUUCUAACCACGGGUCUACUCUGCAUCACUACUAUCAUUGUGUUUUAUUCUGGACAGCAAUCCUCCAAUUCAUUUGUUGAUUUUGUAAAAAAUGCCUUUCGGCCGCUGGACCGUAUCUUCUCUCCACCGCCGGACGACGACCCAUGGUUUCAGAAGCGCUUCAUCAGAUCUAUCAAACCAUUUCUGACGAGAGAGAACAAGGAACUCCCCGAUGAUACCAGAACGUGGUGGCGGGAAAUCCAGAAUGACAAUAGCACAGCCAAGUUCAGCGAGGUGGUGGAGAAGUUGUUCCAGGUCAUCCCUGAUGCUGACCUCCACAUGGACGCGGGCCAUGAGCGCCAUGGAAGCUGUGCUGUGGUGGGGAACUCUGGGAACCUCAAGGGUUCCCACUUCGGAGCCCUCAUAGACUCCAGUGACGUUGUCAUAAGGUAGGCCAACAGAGGGUGUUGACAGAGGGCGCACUUUAAGCAUUGGCAGUGCCAUUGAAGACUUAAGCCAUUUUGAGUUAGUCAACUGGGUGGGUCUUCCUAUGGGUUAAGGAAGGAUCACAGGAUUCCAUAAAGCAGGGCCGUAAACAGACCUUGUAGGUGCUCAAAAUUGGAAGGGCAACCGCCCGUCUUUCUGCUGCGUGUUGGCUAUCAGCCAACCAGACUGACUAAAUCAAUUGUUGAUCAAAUAUUAUGCUGCUGUGCCAGUACUGUUGAUUAUUUAAACUAGAUGGCUUGCUACACACACUCAACUGGUGACCGCAUCUCAAAUC